rnacentral:lncRNA from 1 species
UAGAAAUAAACACACGGAAUAAAAAUAUGGAAGUACACAGAUGGAGCGGAUAUUUGGACUAAUCCAGGUUCAGUCCUCUGUGGUUUUUUGCCUGUGAUGGAAUUUGGGGGUUAGUAGUCCUGACAGCAUUAAAUCCUUUUUUAUCUCUUCUUCUCUUUGUUAUGGUUUGCAUUGAAUUUGCAAUGCUGUAUCGUCAGAGUGUGAGGAGAGAUUCAGCCAUGGCGGGAUGUAUGAAGUGAAUCUUUAAGCCGGUGAAGCACCUGAAUUGUGGUUGUCUUUGUCUCAGAACAAGUUCAGUACUUGCAGUGUGGCGUCAGCCCUGGAGAUACUGUGGGUGGUGCUGAGUGUCGGGGAGGUCCUGUGGACCCGCUGCGUAGAUCAGAUGGAUAAAAGCCUCCAGGCCUCUCUUCCUUGGGGAGGUGAAUCGUGACAGGAUGAUGCCUGUUCCAAUAGCAGGGUCAGACUGAGGGAGCAGGAGGCUUUCCUCAUGGCUUUCCAUGACACAGUACCCCAGCUGGUAUUUUCACUGAGACCAAAGAAGCAGAUUUGGACCCCUCAGAGUGUGACAUGAAGGAAUUUGUCAGCAGAUAACAAGUGAGUGAAAAUAGGUGUCUUCAGGUAGAUGUG